UUCCCUCAAGGCUCCGCCCUCCCACGUCCCCGCCCCGUGCGCUAGUCUGGGUCCUUACAUGGUGCACAGCUCUUCCGUCCGGCCCCGCAGCUCCUGCAGGCCCCGCGCGGCCUGCGCCUGCUCGCGCUGCGCUCGCUCCCACUGGCCCAGGAAGCUGUCGAGCCUGCCGCCUAGGCCCCCGAGCAGCCGUAGGGCCUCCUGCACGGCCCCCUCCUCCUGAUGCCACCGGGCGGUCAGUGAGGACACCUCCCUCCUGUAGGGGUAGAGGUAUCCUGGCCUUCUCUCGGCCUGCCUCCCAGCCCCACAUCAGCUCCUCCAGACACUGCCUCCUCAAGAUACCGCUCGCGCCAACCCUUUGGAGUUGGAGCCUCCAAAGACCUGCCACGUUCCAAAACCCGCCCACCUCAUUUUCACCAGACGCGGACCCCCCUGCCACCGGCCCUAUGUUCAAAACUCGGUUCUUCGAAGUCCUGCCCUUCCGGGUCACCGCCCCCAGAACGCUCCUCUUCGAGGGUCCACCCCCUGGGCCCAUCCCAGGAUCCCACUCACCUCAGCUCCUCAAGGUCUUGCUCACCUCCCAGUUUUGCCCCACAGCCUGAGGUGGUCCACUCAGAGAACUCCUGCUUAUCCGUCAAAGCCCAGUUCCAACACUGCCUCCUCCAGAAGUUUUCCCUGAUCCCCCUAGCCUGGUUUGAGGGGCCCUUUUCUGGGAUCCCCAGUGUUACCUCCAUUAUGGAAUUUGUCACCCCAGUCUGUAUCUGUCACUCCCACCAGACGGGGGGCUUCCCUGGGGCAGGGACCUGGCCCGAUUCCUAUCUGUGACUCCAGCUUCACCCAGGACAUUUGGAAGUGACUGAAUGAACAAAAGACCAACUCGCAGGCAGCCGGCAGCAUUCACCCUGGAUGGAGCAGAUUUAUGGCUGACUGUAGGGCCUCAAAGGGUGACAAGAACCUUCUCGUUCCAAAUCAAGAAGACACCCCCCCCAAACCCAUCCUCAGUAUUUGCCUACCACCAGGGGAGAACCCUCGUAUUCCCCAGCCCGGCCGAGGGCCCUCUCACCAGUAUUUCCGUGAUGUCUGGGUCAUCUGGAGCCCAGGGUGGGAUGGGCACGGGCAAUGCCAGUAGGCUGCUGUCUUCCACGGUUGAGUCUGUCCCCGAGGAGUCGGUGGGCUCCAUGGCGGCCAGGUUGAGCAGGGACACAUUGGUGCAGGCUGAGGACCGUUUGAGGUUCAGGCAGCAGUGCAUUGGCUCAUAGGACAUCCGAGGCUCCACCCUAGGGAAGAGAAACAGGCAGGAGGGUCAAGAUGCCACCCCAGCAGGGUAUGGCCCCUCCCACCUCCCUGUCUGCACAUUCCCUACUCUCUCUGAUUUCAACCUCGCCGCCUGCUUUCUUCUUUCUCCUCCAUCCCUGCUACCUGUUUUCCUCCCUUUCCACCAGCACCCACAGUGGGACUUCUGCUCUGUCAGAGGCAAGGGCUGGGUGCUGGGACCGCCCCCGACAGGGUGUGACAAACCCACCCGUGGAAGGACACAGCCUUCUUUUUCUUUGAGAUCCCUUUGACUGGGCUGGUCACACCCCCAGGAGCCUCGGGGACCAGCUGGGAGCGACUCUCGACCCCCGUGGGGGGGUCCCCAGCCUCAUGGAUCUCUUUGGACUGCCAGAUCGUCUUCACCACCACGCUCGCCAUGGCCUGUGGAGGGCCCGGCUCCCAGGGGCUCCUUCCUCUGAGGCUCUCCACCUACACUGACCACUGACCCUCAAGGUCCCCUGUCCCCACAAGCCUGCCUCAUAAAGGACCCAACCACUGGGCCCCAGUAACGGGGGGUGGGGGCACAAGGGUGGGGAAACGUGACUUGGCACGUUCCCCCGGGGGGCUCAGUGAACUCUUGUUCAGGAUUCUAGUUCUACCCUGAUCUGUCCCUCCCCUUCAGAAACACAGUGAAAUUCCUUCUAGUCCAGAACUUACAGUGGACGGACCCACUGGUUCUUGGGAGGGGUCCAAAUUACCUUUCCCUGAAACUCACUGUGGGGUCACCCAGCCCCCCCAUUCAGACUUGCUUCAUCAUGUACUACCUUGGAUUUGUCACUUUCCCAGGAUCUGGGGGACGAUGAGGAUUGAAUACCAGCGCUGGAGGAUCUUACAUUCUAUGGGGGGUUGGAAGGGGACAGGCAGGCAAUAGAAACAAACCAAAAAUACCAGAUGUCCGAACGUGAUAUAAAGGGAAUCAAAACUGGGUGAUGGCCAUGUGGACAUUUGUCAAAGCUUGUCGAUUUGUGCACCUGGGAUUUGAGCCUUUUAUCGUGUGUGAAUUCUGCUUAUUAAAGCAUCUAAGCAAGCACUGAACUAUAGUUCAUUAUGUGCAUGUUGAAUAUUUGGAGUUGUGUUAGACCCCGGGACUGCUGUAACAAAGUCCUGCAGACUGAGCGUCUUAAACCGUAGCUAGUUAUUGUCUGACAGUUCUGGAGGCCAGAAGUCCAAGGUCAAGGUGUCAGCAGGGUUGGUUCCUUCUGAGGCUGUGAGGGAGAAUCUGUGCCUCUCUCCUAGUGUCUGGUAUCCUUAGGUGUUCCUUUGUUUGUAGAUGGCCAUCUUCUCCCCGUGUCUUCACACUACCUUCUCUGUGGAACUGUUUAUCUCUGUGUCCAAAUUUCCCCCCUUUUAAGGAACUGGACAUAUUGGAUUAGGGCCCACCCAAAUGACCAUGUCUUAACUUGAUCAUCUGUAAAGACCCUAUUUCCAAAUAAGGCCAAAUUCACAGCGACUGCGGGUUAGGACUUGAGCAUCUCUUGCAGGACGUAAUGCAACCCGUAACAGCGUUGAUGAGUACCGAUAUCUGCAACUUUGUUUUAUUCUGUUUUUUAAUUGUUUUUUUAUUGAAUAAAUUUGACUUUGUUGUUGUU